rnacentral:rRNA from 1 species
AGAGUUUGAUCAUGGCUCAGGAUGAACGCUGGCGGCGUGCCUAACACAUGCAAGUCGAGCGAUCUACUUCGGUAAAGAGCGGCGGACGGGUGAGUAACGCGUGGGUAACCUGCCCUGUACACACGGAUAACAUACCGAAAGGUAUGCUAAUACGAGAUAAUAUACUUUUAUCGCAUGGUAGAAGUAUCAAAGCUUUUGCGGUACAGGAUGGACCCGCGUCUGAUUAGCUAGUUGGUAAGGUAACGGCUUACCAAGGCGACGAUCAGUAGCCGACCUGAGAGGGUGAUCGGCCACAUUGGAACUGAGACACGGUCCAAACUCCUACGGGAGGCAGCAGUGGGGAAUAUUGCACAAUGGGCGAAAGCCUGAUGCAGCAACGCCGCGUGAGCGAUGAAGGCCUUCGGGUCGUAAAGCUCUGUCCUCAAGGAAGAUAAUGACGGUACUUGAGGAGGAAGCCCCGGCUAACUACGUGCCAGCAGCCGCGGUAAUACGUAGGGGGCUAGCGUUAUCCGGAAUUACUGGGCGUAAAGGGUGCGUAGGUGGUUUCUUAAGUCAGAGGUGAAAGGCUAUGGCUCAACCGUAGUAAGCCUUUGAAACUGGGAAACUUGAGUGCAGGAGAGGAGAGUGGAAUUCCUAGUGUAGCGGUGAAAUGCGUAGAUAUUAGGAGGAACACCAGUUGCGAAGGCGGCUCUCUGGACUGUAACUGACACUGAGGCACGAAAGCGUGGGGAGCAAACAGGAUUAGAUACCCUGGUAGUCCAUGCCGUAAACGAUGAGUACUAGCUGUCAGAGGUUACCCCCUUCGGUGGCGCAGCUAACGCAUUAAGUACUCCGCCUGGGAAGUACGCUCGCAAGAGUGAAACUCAAAGGAAUUGACGG